GGGUUGUGAGGUUAAGCGACUAAGCGUACACGGUGGAUGCCCUGGCAGUCAGAGGCGAUGAAGGACGUGCUAAUCUGCGAUAAGCGUCGGUGAGGUGAUAUGAACCGUUAUAACCGGCGAUUUCCGAAUGGGGAAACCCAGUGUGUUUCGACACACUAUCAUUAACUGAAUCCAUAGGUUAAUGAGGCGAACCGGGGGAACUGAAACAUCUAAGUACCCCGAGGAAAAGAAAUCAACCGAGAUUCCCCCAGUAGCGGCGAGCGAACGGGGAGGAGCCCAGAGCCUGAAUCAGUGUGUGUGUUAGUGGAAGCGUCUGGAAAGGCGCGCGAUACAGGGUGACAGCCCCGUACACAAAAAUGCACAUGCUGUGAGCUCGAUGAGUAGGGCGGGACACGUGGUAUCCUGUCUGAAUAUGGGGGGACCAUCCUCCAAGGCUAAAUACUCCUGACUGACCGAUAGUGAACCAGUACCGUGAGGGAAAGGCGAAAAGAACCCCGGCGAGGGGAGUGAAAAAGAACCUGAAACCGUGUACGUACAAGCAGUGGGAGCCUCUUAAUGGGGUGACUGCGUACCUUUUGUAUAAUGGGUCAGCGACUUAUAUUCUGUAGCAAGGUUAACCGAAUAGGGGAGCCGAAGGGAAACCGAGUCUUAACUGGGCGUUAAGUUGCAGGGUAUAGACCCGAAACCCGGUGAUCUAGCCAUGGGCAGGUUGAAGGUUGGGUAACACUAACUGGAGGACCGAACCGACUAAUGUUGAAAAAUUAGCGGAUGACUUGUGGCUGGGGGUGAAAGGCCAAUCAAACCGGGAGAUAGCUGGUUCUCCCCGAAAGCUAUUUAGGUAGCGCCUCGUGAAUUCAUCUCCGGGGGUAGAGCACUGUUUCGGCAAGGGGGUCAUCCCGACUUACCAACCCGAUGCAAACUGCGAAUACCGGAGAAUGUUAUCACGGGAGACACACGGCGGGUGCUAACGUCCGUCGUGAAGAGGGAAACAACCCAGACCGCCAGCUAAGGUCCCAAAGUCAUGGUUAAGUGGGAAACGAUGUGGGAAGGCCCAGACAGCCAGGAUGUUGGCUUAGAAGCAGCCAUCAUUUAAAGAAAGCGUAAUAGCUCACUGGUCGAGUCGGCCUGCGCGGAAGAUGUAACGGGGCUAAACCAUGCACCGAAGCUGCGGCAGCGACACUAUGUGUUGUUGGGUAGGGGAGCGUUCUGUAAGCCUGUGAAGGUGGCCUGUGAGGGUUGCUGGAGGUAUCAGAAGUGCGAAUGCUGACAUAAGUAACGAUAAAGCGGGUGAAAAGCCCGCUCGCCGGAAGACCAAGGGUUCCUGUCCAACGUUAAUCGGGGCAGGGUGAGUCGACCCCUAAGGCGAGGCCGAAAGGCGUAGUCGAUGGGAAACAGGUUAAUAUUCCUGUACUUGGUGUUACUGCGAAGGGGGGACGGAGAAGGCUAUGUUGGCCGGGCGACGGUUGUCCCGGUUUAAGCGUGUAGGCUGGUUUUCCAGGCAAAUCCGGAAAACCAAGGCUGAGGCGUGAUGACGAGGCACUACGGUGCUGAAGUGACAAAUGCCCUGCUUCCAGGAAAAGCCUCUAAGCAUCAGGUAACAUCAAAUCGUACCCCAAACCGACACAGGUGGUCAGGUAGAGAAUACCAAGGCGCUUGAGAGAACUCGGGUGAAGGAACUAGGCAAAAUGGUGCCGUAACUUCGGGAGAAGGCACGCUGAUAUGUAGGUGAAGCGACUUGCUCGUGGAGCUGAAAUCAGUCGAAGAUACCAGCUGGCUGCAACUGUUUAUUAAAAACACAGCACUGUGCAAACACGAAAGUGGACGUAUACGGUGUGACGCCUGCCCGGUGCCGGAAGGUUAAUUGAUGGGGUUAGCGGUAACGCGAAGCUCUUGAUCGAAGCCCCGGUAAACGGCGGCCGUAACUAUAACGGUCCUAAGGUAGCGAAAUUCCUUGUCGGGUAAGUUCCGACCUGCACGAAUGGCGUAAUGAUGGCCAGGCUGUCUCCACCCGAGACUCAGUGAAAUUGAACUCGCUGUGAAGAUGCAGUGUACCCGCGGCAAGACGGAAAGACCCCGUGAACCUUUACUAUAGCUUGACACUGAACAUUGAGCCUUGAUGUGUAGGAUAGGUGGGAGGCUUUGAAGUGUGGACGCCAGUCUGCAUGGAGCCGACCUUGAAAUACCACCCUUUAAUGUUUGAUGUUCUAACGUUGGCCCCUAAUCGGGGUUGCGGACAGUGUCUGGUGGGUAGUUUGACUGGGGCGGUCUCCUCCUAAAGAGUAACGGAGGAGCACGAAGGUUGGCUAAUCCUGGUCGGACAUCAGGAGGUUAGUGCAAUGGCAUAAGCCAGCUUGACUGCGAGCGUGACGGCGCGAGCAGGUGCGAAAGCAGGUCAUAGUGAUCUGGUGGUUCUGAAUGGAAGGGCCAUCGCUCAACGGAUAAAAGGUACUCCGGGGAUAACAGGCUGAUACCGCCCAAGAGUUCAUAUCGACGGCGGUGUUUGGCACCUCGAUGUCGGCUCAUCACAUCCUGGGGCUGAAGUAGGUCCCAAGGGUAUGGCUGUUCGCCAUUUAAAGUGGUACGCGAGCUGGGUUUAGAACGUCGUGAGACAGUUCGGUCCCUAUCUGCCGUGGGCGCUGGAGAACUGAGGGGGGCUGCUCCUAGUACGAGAGGACCGGAGUGGACGCAUCACUGGUGUUCGGGUUGUCAUGCCAAUGGCACUGCCCGGUAGCUAAAUGCGGAAGAGAUAAGUGCUGAAAGCAUCUAAGCACGAAACUUGCCCCGAGAUGAGUUCUCCCUGAGACUUAGAGUCUCCUGAAGGAACGUUGAAGACGACGACGUUGAUAGGCCGGGUGUGUAAGCGCAGCGAUGCGUUGAGCUAACCGGUACUAAUGAACCGUGAGGCUUAACCUUACAACGCCGAAG
rnacentral:rRNA from 1 species